rnacentral:rRNA from 1 species
GUCUACAGCCACGCCACCCUGAACAAGCCCGAUCCCGGCUGAUCUCGGAAGCUAAGCAGGGUCGGGCCUGGUUAGUACUUGGAUGGGAGACCACCUAGGAAGACCAGGUGCUGUAGGCG